AGUCGUAACAAGGUUUCCGUAGGUGAACCUGCGGAAGGAUCAUUAUUGAAUAUAAACUUGGGUGGACUGUUGCUGGCUUCUUUCUGUGAGGGAGCAUGUGCACGUUUGUCCUCUUUAUCUUUCCACCUGUGCACCUUUUGUAGGCUUGGACUAUCAUUGGUUCUAAUGUGUCUUUCAAAGGCAUAAGAAUUGUUUUGGGAUUGCUGUGCUUAAACGCUUGUUUAUCGGCUUUCCCUUUUAUUUUCCAGGUCUAUGUUUGAUACAUACACUCCAAAAAUAUAAUAGAAUGAUGUACUUUAGGUCAUUAGUACCUAUAAUAAAAUCAGUACAACUUUCAGCAACGGAUCUCUUGGCUCUCGCAUCGAUGAAGAACGCAGCGAAAUGCGAUAAGUAAUGUGAAUUGCAGAAUUCAGUGAAUCAUCGAAUCUUUGAACGCAUCUUGCGCUCCUUGGUAUUCCAAGGAGCAUGCCUGUUUGAGUAUCAUUAAAUUAUCAACUGUGCCAAUUUGGUUACAGAUUGGAUGUGGGAGAUUUCUGCGGGCUUUUUUUAAAAAAAAACCUGCCCUCCUGAAAUGUAUUAGCAGUGCCUGUGUUGGUUCAUGAGGUGUGAUAAUUUAUCUACAUCUUCACAUGUUACCUUCAUUUGUAAAAGGUCAUAUUGCUUCUAAUCGUCUUUGGACAAAAACACAAACUUGAUCUCAAAUCAGGCAGGACUACCCGCUGAACUUAAGCAUAUCAAUAAGCGGAGGAAAAGAAACUAACAAGGAUUCCCCUAGUAACUGCGAGUGAAGCGGGAAAAGCUCAAAUUUAAAAUCUGGCGGUUGUUCUGGCCGUCCGAGUUGUAAUCUAGAGAAGUGUUACCCGCGCUGGACCGUGUACAAGUCUCCUGGAAUGGAGCAUCAUAGAGGGUGAGAAUCCCGUCUUUGACAUGGGCUACCAGGGCUUUGUGGUGCGCUCUCGAAGAGUCGAGUUGUUUGGGAAUGCAGCUCAAAAUGGGUGGUAAAUGCCAUCUAAAGCUAAAUAUUGGCGAGAGACCGAUAGCGAACAAGUACCGUGAGGGAAAGAUGAAAAGAACUUUGGAAAGAGAGUUAAACAGUACGUGAAAUUGCUGAAAGGGAAACGCUUGGAGUCAGUCGCAUUGACUGGAAAUCAACCUAGCUUUUGCUUGGUGUAUUUUCUGGCUCGAUGGGUCAGCAUCAAUUUUGACCGCUGGAUAAAGGCUUGGGGAAUGUGGCAUCUUAGGAUGUGUUAUAGCCCUUGGUUGCAUACAUCGGUUGGGAUUGAGGAACUCAGCACGCCGCAAGGCCGGGUUGAAAGACCACGUUUACGUGCUUAGGAUGCUGGCAUAAUGGCUUUAAUCGACC
rnacentral:rRNA from 1 species